GGCGGACGGGUGAGUAAUGCUUGGGAAUAUGCCUUUUGGUGGGGGACAACAGUUGGAAACGACUGCUAAUACCGCAUAAUGUCUACGGACCAAAGUGGGGGACCUUCGGGCCUCAUGCCAAAAGAUUAGCCCAAGUGAGAUUAGCUAGUAGGUGAGGUAAUGGCUCACCUAGGCGACGAUCUCUAGCUGGUUUGAGAGGAUGAUCAGCCACACUGGGACUGAGACACGGCCCAGACUCCUACGGGAGGCAGCAGUGGGGAAUAUUGCACAAUGGGGGAAACCCUGAUGCAGCCAUGCCGCGUGUGUGAAGAAGGCCUUCGGGUUGUAAAGCACUUUCAGUCGUGAGGAAAGGGUGUAAGUUAAUACCUUGCAUCUGUGACGUUAGCGACAGAAGAAGCACCGGCUAACUCCGUGCCAGCAGCCGCGGUAAUACGGAGGGUGCGAGCGUUAAUCGGAAUUACUGGGCGUAAAGCGUGC
rnacentral:rRNA from 1 species